rnacentral:rRNA from 1 species
GACGAACGCUGGCGGCGUGCUUAACACAUGCAAGUCGAACGGUGAAGCGCCUUCCUUUUUGGUGGGUGUGGAUGAGAGGCGAACGGGUGAGUAACACGUGAGUAACCUGCCCCCUUCUUCUGGAUAACCGCAUGAAAGUGUGGCUAAUACGGGAUAUUCUGCGUCUGUGGCAUGAUGGGUCAGGGAAAGAUAUUGUUUCGGUGGGGGAAGGGCUUGCGGCGUAUCAGCUUGUUGGUGGGGUGAUGGCCUACGACGGCGUGGGAGGGUAGACGGCCUGAGUGGGUCAGCGACAAGGCUGAGACUGAUACGGGGGGCAGCAGUGGGGAGGAGUGCACAGUGGGGGAUAUUCUGAUGCAGCGACGCCGCGGGAGCAGUGGAGGCCUGCGGGGUGUGAACCUCUUUCGCUAGUGAAGCAGGCCUGCCUCGUUUGUGGGGGGGUUGACGGUAGCUGGAUAAGAAGCGCCGGCUAACUACGUG